rnacentral:rRNA from 1 species
UACAGAGGGUGCAAGCGUUAAUCGGAUUUACUGGGCGUAAAGGGCGCGUAGGUGGUUAUUUAAGUGAGAUGUGAAAGCCCCGGGCUCAACCUGGGAACUGCAUCUUAUACUGGGUAACUGGAGUACAUGAGAGGGUAGUGGAAUUUCCUGUGUAGCGGUGAAAUGCGUAGAUAUAGGAAGGAACACCAGUGGCGAAGGCGACCACCUGGACUGAUACUGACACUGAGGUGCGAAAGCGUGGGGAGCAAACAGG